UACAGAGGCCUCGAGCGUUAGGCGGAAUCACUGGGCUUAAAGCGUGUGUAGGCGGAUCGUUAAGUACCUUGUGAAAUCCCACGGCUCAACCGUGGAACUGCUUGGUAUACUGGCGGUCUUGUGCAACCUAGGGGCGAGCGGAACAGAUGGUGGAGCGGUGAAAUGCGUAGGAUAUCAUCUGGAACGCCAAUGGUGAAAACAGCUCGCUGGGGGUUU
rnacentral:rRNA from 1 species